UACGGAGGGUGCAAGCGUUAUCCGGAUUCACUGGGUUUAAAGGGUGCGUAGGUGGGCUGGUAAGUCCGUGGUGAAAUCUCCAAGCUUAACUUGGAAACUGCCGUGGAUACUAUUAGUCUUGAAUCUCGUGGAGGUAAGCGGAAUAUGUCAUGUAGCGGUGAAAUGCUUAGAUAUCAGGAGGAACACCAAUGGCGAAGGCAGCUCGCUGGAACGGUACUGACGCUGAGGCGCGAAAGCGUGGGGAGCAAACAGG
rnacentral:rRNA from 1 species